rnacentral:tRNA from 1 species
GCUCCCGUAGCUCAGAUGGAUAGAGCAAGCGCGUCCUAAGCGUUAGGUCGGUGGUUCGAAUCCACCCGGGAGCACCA